CCGGAGCUCAGGGACAGGAACCUAAGUGUGGAGGAUUCACAUACCCGGUACAUGAUAAGUGCAACUCAGCCCCUUCCGCCUCAGACACAAGCAAAUAUGUUAGAGAGAGAGAGAGAGAGAGAGAGAGAGAGAGAGAGAGAGAGAGAGAGAGAGAGAGAGAGAGAGAGAGAGAGAGAGAGAGAGAGAGAGAGAGAGAGAGAGAGGGAGAGGGAGAGAGAGAGAGAGAGAGAGAGAGAGAGAGGGAGAGAGGGAGAGAGAGAGAGAGAGAGAGAGAGAGAGAGAGAGAGACUGGCCCCUCCUUACUGCUGUAAAAGUAGAGAGGGGGAAAAAAAACUCGGGAAAGAGAGGGAGGGAGAAAAAGAAAAAAAAGAAGCAAAGGAAUUGCAGCCAUACGGGCUGUGCUUCUUGGCUGAACUGUAUCUUCCUCCUCCGCCGCCACCACCAACACCACCACCACCACCACCACCACCACCCCCACCACCAUCGGCACCUCCUCCUCCUCCAAAAAAAAACCCCCUCAUCUGCCAGCCAUUAGCUAAUCAGCGGCGCAGGAGCACGGGGGAAAACCGGGGGGACGGGAGCGACCGAGCGGACCAAGGAGACUCUACCACCGAGGGAGAGCCUGGAGAGACGAAGGACCCAGGACUCAGGCCUCGGUGGUCGGACGCCCACACACCCCUCACUCAGCCACAGCCCGCCCAGGACUGGCUGAAGCUGAAACCAAGAUGGCCGCCCCUCUGAGUGCUGACCAGCAGGUAAGAGGACAAGGCAACAGCAACGCAUGGAAACAUGUCCGCAUGGAAAUGUGUCCGCAUGGAAACGUGUCCGCAUGGAAACGUGUCCGCAUGGAAACAUGUCCGCAUGGAAACAUGUCCGCAUGGAAACAUGUCCGCAUGGAAACGGUUGUAAGAAAAGGUUUGGUGACGUCGGCCAUUCAGAAAAAUACAAUUUUUCUCAAUUACUGCUAGUUACUUCGGUAUGGAUUGCACUGAGCACUAUGGGUCAUAAUGUAUCAAUGUUGGUUAUAGGAAGAACGAUGCAUGAUGUUCACACUUCUAUAAGCUGUAUAAGAUCCUUAACACAUUACUCAAGCCUGUUUACUUGUGCUAACCUACACCAAGUGUCUUGGAAAAUGUCAUUAACUUUGCUGUGUCAGACAAUGAAAGUGAUCCUGUAGAUAAAACAGAUAGCUAUAGAUACAAGGCAAUGCAAAACGGUAGGGAAAGAGCAGAAUCAGGAUUGCACAAGAUCAUAAAUUAAAUGUAAUAAGAAAUAAAAUACCCAAUGAAAGUAUCAAAACAAAGACUAGAAAGAAGGCACAUUCUCCCCAGAAGCGCAAGAACUCAAAAGGGGAAUAUCGUGUCGUAUUUGUAUAUUGACUGAACCUAAGCGAUCCCAUAUAACAACGUAAGAGCGCCAAGCUUAAAUUCCAAUCACAUUGCAGCGGCCUGACGUACGCAAAAUAAACCCUAAUACCCAGCACAUGGUCACUGUACUUUUCACUGACUCUGGAAAAGAGAUCGGCUUCGACCUGGAGCAAGAACAAACUUGUAAGAGCUGUCUGAAGAUCUGAAGUCUGGAAAUGUAACACCCUGAGCAGCCAACGCCAGCGUUACGUGUCUAUCAGAUUACGCAGCUAUCUGCUCCAUGCAUGUACUGUACAGAAAGACACCAUGAUGCAAGUUCUAUGUCUUGGUCUCAUGGUUUCUAAUCAGAACUAUGUAGAGAUAAUGAGGCAUUAGGACUCAACUUUACGAUUAUCAAUGACAAUUUGUUCUUCUGGUGACACUAAAACCAAAGGAUAAUAGAAAAAACAUAGUCGCAGAAAAGAUGAUCACAAACCCAUACACACACAAAUCCAAGAGAAAGAAAGAAAGAAAAAAUGAUAGAAAGCGAGAGAGAGGUAGAGCAAGAGAGAGAGGGAGAGAAAGGAAGAGAAAGAGAGAGAGAGGGCAAAAGCUGGACAAAGAGAGCGAGAGAGAAAAAAACUAAGGGAAGAUAAAUAGAGAGAGAGAGAGAGAGAGAGACAGAGGUCAAUUGUGACCACUCUGGGUCAAGUCUGUACUCUGUUUACCAAGUAUUGUACACAGAGGGCAGGCAUACAGAGUGAAUACCGAGCACACAAGGCACAGACUUUUUCCCAUCCAGGUUCCGUUCUGCAAGUCAAAACAACACAUGUUGUCACCAGGGGACAGCUGGCGAGAGCGUCGUCCGAAGGGGUAAGGGAAUGUUGUCGGAACACAUAGAUCUUCCCAACCAGCACUGCUUUUAAGGUCAACCACAGAUAAGUCUCUCAAGACAGACUUGCUUUUAAAGAAAAGCUCCAGACUUCACGUCUGUACUUUAAGCAAGCCACGUUUUUUUGUAAUGGAUCCAGAAGACUAGAAGCGGAUCCAAAGGUAUUUCUCGACCAAUCACGACUUGUUGAGCGAUGCAUUACAAUCAACUGCCUCGGUUUGUUUCUGGGGAGGAUGCAUGUUCAUGAACACCGUGACGUGAUUAGUCAAAAUACGUUGGAUUCGGUUCUGGAUCUGGUUACAAAAAACAUGGCUACCUUAAAUGUAGCCACUAAUGUGGCUAGGCUGAAGCAUGAAAAACGAAAAGGGUCUGUCUUGAGAGAAUACCCCAUGAUAGUUUAAUAAGCCUAUCCAGAAUCAAUGUGAUCCAACACGGUACUUUAAUCCAACGAUUGAAGUCCUAGCCAAUUAAAUGAGUUAGUGUGUAAUUCAACUCAUAUGUCUUUUAUACUCGUCUUUGAACAAUGUUUCGAUUAAACGGUGGCUCACAAGGGACCUGUUGACCUCACCGUUGCAUUAAUUCAAAAACUGACGGAACUGAUUGAAUAGGAGGAUCAUGUGGAAAGCAUUCUGCGCUGGUAUCAACACGGCUAUAGAUCGGACGGCAGCGACGGAAGCUGGACUAAGAGGCUUUUCGUCAGGAUCUCAUUCAACGUGGUGUGCCAGUUAAGCUAAACCAUGCUCAUUCCUUACCCAUGAACUCAAAUAAACACCCCGCUGAGCACGGCCCUCUAGAGUUACUCCAACACCAUUUCCUUUUAAGUCAACACCACUCAGAAAAGACAAACUGUGCAACCAUAAGUCAACAUGAAAUGACAAAACGGCUCAGUAUUUCCGUCUGUCUAAACACAGUGCCUGGAAACUCUUUUCCUUUUUUUUUUUCUUCCAUCGUCGCGCUGUAGCUUGAAGCAUUCCGUGCCGCUUGCUACAGCGGGCGCGGUGAAGUCAGGUAGCAAUGACAAGGCCUUAAUGAUAAAUGCCUGCCUUGAUGGAACAGCUCGGACCGGACAGGGUGGGAGGGCAGGGGGGGGGGGGGGGGCAGGGGUUGAAUUUGAUGCGGCGAGACAUUAUAAAGGGGUGACCUUUGACACGGAGCAUUCAAGGCCAACUCUCUCUUUCUGUUAAAUGGCAGAAAGCUGCCUUUUUUUCUUCUUCAAAAUGGUACGGUUACUAUGGUAAUUUAGGGUGGUUUGCACUUAUGGUGAUUUGGAACCAUUCCACACUCCUGUGCUUAAUGUUCUUGAGGUGAUUUGGAAAAGUGCCAAGCACUUGUACGUAGAUGUGCACGUCACUUCAUCAGUAGUAUGCUAGGUCCUGCCAGCUAGCCUUUCAGUGUAUGCCAGUAUCCACGUCACUCUGGAAAGGCCGGUGUUCCAAAGGGUUCCCAAAUGGCGGUUGCUAGCGGAAGAAGUAGCAGAAGUAAUUGAGGAACUAGCCACAAAUGUUCUAUACGUAUUAUACUCUUCUAACAGAUGUAUGCCUGGAGAAAAGGUUAUUCGCGGGAUAGUGCAGAAAGAGCUUUUAGGAAUGUUGAAUAUUUAACAUUGGUUUAUAUUCCAGCUUUUCUCAUCUGCUAUACCUGUUGAGAAAGGACAAUAAUUGGUCCAGGUGUUGAGUGACUACAGGGCUCAAUUGAACUUGGCUCCAUCAGUCCCUUUAGAAAAAUCCCAAACCAGAGAAUAUUCUAGUUAAUGAAGUCCACAGUUGUGUUAAGGUUGGAGCAAUGGGAGUGUGCGACACAUGUUCUCCAUUACGAUGUACCUCGGAGCCAAACACACGGCCCAGUGUUUUAUAGGGUCGGUACACAGCCUUUUCAUGUCACAGCAACAACAAACUUUAACAGCCAUCUUGCGAAUCUUUCAAAACAUGCUCAUCUAGUCCACAUAUUGGGGAAAGGCAAGAAGAAGCUUGUGCAUGGAUAUAGGUGACCUAGUUUAAGUUGGCUAUUCAUUUUACCUUGUUUGCUCAUGUAGAAAUUAAAUACCUCCUUGUUUAAAUUUCCUUAUACAUAUCAAUGGUUUAUCAGUACAUAAUGCUCAUCUUUUCUGUAUCAUCUUAAGGAUGGAGGCCAUAGUGUCCAGGCUUAUGAAACUAUACAUCCCUUAUUCACCAAUAUCACUGAUGGCAAAUGGUAAACAUGUCCUGAAACGUCUACUGCAGUAGUAACAUUACUUGAAAACAAUGGGUUGAGUGCUGAAUUAUACAUGCCUUUGAUACUUUUUAAUAGGUCUAUGUUGGGAAGACUUGUAAUCCUAGUCGAUUAUUAAUAAUUAAUAAUAUAAGAGUCUGUUUCCUUCCAAAAUCUCUACAUGAAUGUUGUUUGUGGUCAACUGAUGUUUCCUGUGGCUGAGGAGUACUUGUCAACCCCCAAACAAUACCAUAAUGUCUAAAUUAAAGUCAAAUGUUCCAAGCCACAACAUGGCACACAAUAUUUCAGACUCCCACUGUGGCCUCAGAUGGCAAAGAGGGGCAGAUGACUGAUUACCAUGUUUAUAUACAUAUGUAUAUGCAUAGAAUGAGUCCAUGACUCGUAGCAUAAUACAUAUUAUAAUUUACGACCUAAAAUUAAAUAACCAAAAACUGAAAUAUAAAUUUUUCUCUGAACUCUGUUGACCACCGCUACAGAGUGUACUAGCAAGUGCAAAAUCUUGAUAAUUUUAUCAAGAUAGAAAUCUUGAUAGUGUUUUUUCAGAUAAUCUUUGGUUUCUUAUCUGCCAUGAAUCCUCCGUUCUCUGGUUCUAGAACAUUCCACAACCUGGAACUACUCAAUCUUGACAAACUAAUCAUCAAUUGCAUCAUUUGUCUUCCAAAGUUCUGUUGAAGUACAAACAGACCCCUCUAUCCCCCGGUUAUCUAGUGUAAGGUUGUCAGCCAACUCGAGUUUCAACGCGAGCCGACGAAAAAUAGUCAACUCUCGGUGUUGAGAGGAACUUCCAGAUUGAACAUGUGCAAGUGCCCCCUUUCCAGACCAAACUAGCAAUGUGGGCUGCAUCAGGAAACACAAGCCCAAUGAUGUCACGAUCAUAUGACCUCUGGGUGACAGGUUCGGAGAAUAUCCCUACCCAGAAUCCCCUUGGGGGCAGCAGUUGGUAGGUUGGUGGGCUGGGGGGACCAGAAAGUAUGUGUAGUGUUUUGCAUGUGGAUUUCAUUUUAAGCAACACAUUUUUAGUUCAGCGAGUGAUUUUGACGAGGAUCUCGGUCAACCAGAGACUCUGAAUGCCUUGGCAGGAAAUGGUUUGUUUUCGUUACCAACUAUACGGGUCAAUUACUGAAAUGGUGCCGCGGUCGGCCAUUGUUCAGGCCUUCUGCCUACGUGACUGAAUGGGUUCAUCUUUAAAAGGUGAUCAUCAUUACUGGGUGGUGUUUACCUUUCUGCUGAAUCACAAGAGACUGUGCUGCUUUAUAACUGAAGGUUGGAAAAUAAACUCUAAUUUUGUGUCGUU